AAGAAGCAAAGGCCUGGCCCAGCCUUCUCCUUAUCACUCUCUUUUACUGUUUCCAAGAGACCAGCAGAAGUCCUGGCCCACCUAAUCACUCAGCCCCAGAACCCUCUUGGCCUCAGCUCUUCCUGCAGCCAUGCCAACCUAGCUCCUGGCUUCAGCAUCUCUUCUGGGGAUCUCCCAAGACAGCCCUUCCUCUCCCUAGAGGUGAGUGUCCUAUAUCCUCCCUGAGCUCCAGAAGGUGGGGGAGGGGCAGAGACAUCCCAGGGCCUGCCCAGGGAGUGCUUCCCUCCCACCCAGGGAUGCUCAAUUGCUUUCUAAUCCCCUAGGCCUCAAAGCAGCUUUGGUCUUCUCCAGGUAAGGCCUGACUAACAAGAGUCCUUGCUGUGCUAUAGACUGGAGCAGAGUCAGCCCCAGAGGUCACAUGACUGGCUCAGGAGGGAGGGCCCUGCAAGCAUGGGCUUGAGCCAGGACCUGUACACAGGAAACCGGUGGCCCUAUCUGAGAGUUGUCGAUGAGAAUCGAGCAUGGUGGUGCAGACACCUCUGUGGGGGUAGGUGCUCAUGGGCAGGGGAUUGCCUGCAGCUGCACCUGUGCUCUGUAGCUGGCAUCUGCUGACACCUCAGCUCCAACUUCAUCUCUCGUGUCCUCCCUCACUCUGUGGUUAGCCACAGUGGACAAACUCCCUCUAGCCAGGGACCUCUGCCUAAGCUCUUCCUACUAUCUGUACCCUACCCUCACCCCUUCCUUGCUUAACACGGGCCUGUCAGUUAAAUCCCAGACUAGCCAUUGCUUCCCUGGAGACUCCCCCUGGUCAGGCCUAGUCCCUAAUCACAUGAUCUUCUGGGAGCAUAUCCUACUUGAAGAGUCCUGGUAUUGCUGUGAUUCUUGGUUUAGCUUUCUCUCCACUUAGAUUGUUGGCCUUCUUAAGUCACGAACAGCCCCUUUGAGCUCUAGUGCAAACCUAGAGCCAAACAUAAUGCACAUAGUAGGUAUUAAAUAAACAUAAUACACACAGUAGGUGUUAAAUAAACAUAAAGAAUGGCUGAGGGAUAUGGACCCACACUUAAUGACAUACAAAAUGUCCACGGGCUAUUUGCAUGAAGAAUACAGCUUGCUGACAUUUCUGUGUGGUGUAUCAUCUCUCUCUCUCUCUCUCUCUCUCUCUCUCUCUCUCUCUCUCUCUCUUUCCCUCUCCCUCUCCCUCUCCCUCUCCCUCCCCCUCCCCUCCCCUUUCCCCUCUCUCUCUUUCUGUGUGUGUGUAUGUAUGUGUGUGUGUGUAUCUAUCUAUCUAUCUAUCUAUCUAUCUAUCUAUCUAUAUAUAUAUAUAUAUGUGUGUGUGUGUGUGUGUGUGUGUGUGUGUGUGUGUGUGUCUUCACACAGGAAAAAACCUUGGAAGAACAAAUGUAAAUUAGUACAGCCAUUAUGGAAAACAGUGUGGAAGUUCCUCAAAAAAUUAAAAAUAGAAAUGCCACAUGACCCAGCAAUCCUACUCCUGGGUAUUCAUCCAAGGAAGUGAAGCCAGCAUGUAGAAGAGCUACCUGCAUGCCAGGCGCUUGGCAGCCCUGGUCACAACAGUCAGGAUAUGGAGGUAACCUACACACCCACCAGUAAAUGUACAGAAAAAGAAAAUGUGGCGUAUUUGUGCAGGAACACAACUCAGCCGGAAAAAAAAAAAAAAAAAAAAAGAUGAAAUUCUGACGUCUGCGACAAAGUGGAAGAAGCUACAGAUCAUCGUGCUAAGUGACAUGAGCCAAACAUAGGCACCAUGUGGACCACCUCAUGUGAAGCUGAUGAGCAGAGAUUGAGAGUAGAGGGGUCACCAGAGGAUGGUAAAGGGGUCACCAGAGGACAGGGUUGUUGAAUAGGAACAAGGUACAACCCAGGUAUGGUCUCUCACAUCUAUAAUCCUGCAUUGUGAAAUUUUUUUUAAAGAUUUAUUUAUGGUUGUGAGCCUUCAUGUGGUUGUUGGGAAUUGAGUUUUUUUAGGACCCUUGCUCGCUCCAGUUGGCCCCGCUCACUUAGUUCCCUCUCGCUCAGUCCCUGCUUGCUCCGACCCAAAGAUUUAUUUAUUUAUUAUUAUACAUAAGUACACUAUAGCUGACUUCUGACGUACCAGAAAAGGGCAUCAGAUCUCAUUACGGGUGGUUUUGAGCUACCAUGUGGUUGCUGGGAUUUGAACUCAGGACCUUUGGAAGAGCAGUCAGUGCUCUUACCCACUGAGCCAUAUUGCCAGCCUCACAUUGUGAAAUUUAAGGCCAGCCUGAGCUACAUAGUGAGAUCUGGGCCAGCCACACUACAGUAAGUAACCCUGUGUCAAUAAAUCUAAACCAAACAAAUAGGACAAGCCACAGUGUGUCAGAAGAGUAUUGUAUGGUAUUCUCUGCUUGGAUAAAUCAUAGCUGACAGUAAUGUACUGUAGCCAAAGUGGCCAGAAGAGGGGAUCUUAUGUGUUGUCAUCUCAUAGAAAUAAUGAGUGUUGGAGGUGACAGGUGUCGUAAUUACCAUGAUCUGACCACUAUUCAAUAUAUACAUGUCAUGAAACAUCAAACCCCAUGAAAUUGUAUAAUAUGUCAGUUAAAAAUGCAAUCAUGCCAAGUGAUAGAGUAGUCUGUAUCAGGCAGUGGACACUGGAUUCCCAGUCAAUGUGACCACUAUCUGAAGGAUUGGAGCUGAUGAUUGAAGCACCCAGGUAGAACAGGUACGGGUAAAGGCACUGCAUGGAGAAGGGAGGGGAGACAAGAAGGGGGGAAAAGUAGCAAUCUCUGCCGCCUCUCCUGACAGAUGAACUGGACCAAGAGAGAAGGGAGGGACACACAGACCAUGGCCACAGUGGGAGGUGGAAUGGUAAGGAGGGCAUACCCAGAUUUGAACAAUAGAAGGAUCAGCAUAUCUAGGCUGGAGUGUAGACAAUAAUUCCGGGCAGGAGCCCCCCUUCCCCAGCGACCAUUAUCUCUGGUGCUGUCUCCCUCAUUUCUCUCUGAAUCAGGCUGGGAAGGUACAACUGUUGCCUCUGUCACUCAGGCUUCGCCAACAAUCCUACUGACUAAUAGAGUCAUCAGUCACUUUGGAGAUUGGAGAGGAGUCAGCCACCAACUUUACCAGGCUCUGAGGUCUGGAUCCCCCCGAGGCCACAGGACAGCACCCAUCUGAGGGUAGCAGAUUUGCUCUCUGAGGGUGUGGCUUGCAGAGGCCACAAGGUCUCCUGUUAGACCCUGAGCACAGAAGUUCAGGGCCAAGGUGGAGGGUCUGGCAGGGCAGGCAGUGGCUGCAGACACUUCAGUGGUUAAGAGCAUUGGCUGCUUUGGUAGAGAAUCAGAGUUCAAUUCCCAGCACCUACAUGGCUGCUCAUAACCGUGUACUACAGGUCCAGGGGACCAGCAGCUCUCUUCCGCCCUCACGGCAGCAGGCAUGCAAGACAUACUGCAGACAGUUAUACACAGAGAAUAAUAAAAAUAAAAAAUUUAAAAAGGACACAAGGGCAAAGAGGACACAGCGUAGACUUCCUGCAAUACAGCCCUGUCCCUCUUCACAUGACUGACCCUCCGUGGUGCCCACUGAGGAAGUCCAUUCAUGCACACCUCCCCCAGAACAACCUUCCUUGUCUGUCACCAAACACCCUAUGUCCCUGCUUUAACAUCAUCCUUGGUUCCCUAUUGCUUAUAGCAGUGGUUUAAUAACCUUUUGUUUGUUCCCUAAGAACUCUAAUGAAACUGUAUCCCCCACAGCUUCUCUCUGUGGCGUGUGUAAUCUCUCUUCCUGUGUUUAGUGGUAUAUUUUUAUUAAUAGGAAAUAGAAACUAUUAAGCAAUUGACACAACGAAACACAAUAAGGAUUAACUGUGAUUAGAUUAUUUUAUGACAUGACUUGAUAAAAUAGGUUUUAAUUAUCAAAUUAAAUAACCCACUCGGCCUGAAAUCAUGUGGAAUUUUAUGGAGUGGGUCUUAUCUGCAGUAUAUUCUGAGAACUGCACUGGCUCCCUCUCCAGCUGCCCCUCUCUGUGGGUAUAUCUAUCUAGCCCAUCUGUCUAGCCUUGUACAAGUCAGGACUGGUGGGUUGGUUACUGACUUACUUUUGUGUGUCUGAUAAGUGGCUCAGGGGACCACUCAAGGAACAAGAGUGUUCUCCUGAAGAGAGUACUGGGGCUUCAGAAACUGGGGUGGCUGUCUUGAGCCCCCAAAGAGGAGGAAGAAGGAAAAUGCAUCUUCAAUACAGGCUCUUCUAUCACCACAUGACAGCAGCUUACAAGGUAGACAGGGUCAUAUGGGCUCAUGACUAUAGUUCAUGACACAUGACUCACUGUGGUAGGUCAGGGAUGAAGGAGACAGUGGUAACUCACGGUAGAACAAAGCAGCUCAUCUCACACUGAGGGAAGGAGGAGGGAAUGAGGAGAGAGAGAACGUGGGGAGGGAUAGAAACAGAGCCCCUACAACCCAUUCAGAGUAUGACCCUAGGGACCUAACUUGCUUCCUUUGGGCCCUCCUCUUGUAGAUUGUACUACCUCCCAGCAGUGAGUGCCACAGGCUGGUAACUAAGUCUUUACUAUGUGGUUUCUGAUGGGAUAUUUAAGAUUCAAACCAUGAGACCUACACAGAAAACUUAGGAAGGAGGGAAACUAAGGCUCAGUUGGAAAUGUGCAGACUGCUCCCCACACCUUGCUGUCUGACCCCUAGCUCACCUGGCCUCCACUGAGAACUCAACAAAGCCCCUGUGUUGGGAAAUGGCUAAGUGAUCGGUCUUUGGUUUUCAGUUUCCUGGAUUUUAUAAUUUGCUUUUAUUUGCUUUCAGUGAACACUAAGAUGCUCAUUUUAGUAAAUGAAGGUGGUCACCUGCUGAAAUCUUCCACAAACUUUUAUUUGCUAAUUACAUACAACAUAAAACUUAACAAAGUAAUAGCCAGUCCCAAGCCACCAUCAGGCUUAGGUUCCUUCUUCCUCGCUCUGUGAUGAUGGCUCCAUGUUAAGAACUCAGCUCAGGGCGGGGGUCAUCUCUAGGGUGUGCCAGAGACCUGGACUGGGGAGGCCCCAGGGUGCUAUGGGGACAACUCUAGCUGAGACUUUUAACAGUGGGGGAUGUGGAUAUGGAUAUGAAGUGGAUAAGGACAGCUACCCACCCACAAAACCUUCUACCCAAAAUGUGUCCUGCCUACAAGAUAUGCAGGGACAAAGAUACAGCAGAGACAGAAGGAAUGGCCAACCAAUGACUGGCCAAAAUUGAGACCCACCCCAUGGGCAAGAACCAAUCCCUGACACUAUUAGCGAUAUUGUUUGUUAUGCUUGCAGAUAGGAGUCUAGAGGCUGUCCUCUGAGAGGCUCCACCUAGAAACCAAUGAAAACAGAUACAGAGACCCACAGCCAAACCUUAGACAGAGCUCAGGAAGUCUUGUGGAAGAGUUGAGAGAAGAACUGAGGGACCCAAAGAAGACAGGGACUCCACAGAAAGACCAACAGAGUCAACUAACCUGGACCCUUGGGGGCUCCCAGAGACUGAACAAAACAGUGAGCAUGGGCUAGACAGGUGUCCCCUGAACAUAUGUAGCAGAUGUGCUACUUGGUCUUCAUAUGGGUUCCCAACAACUGGAGCAGGGGCUGACCUUGAACGCUACUUUGUCUGAGAGAGGCUAUGCCUAGUCCGGCAGUGACUUGAUUUGUUUAUGUGUGGGGAGGCAACACAAGUGGGCGAGAGGAGAUUUGGGAUGACCCAAGGGGAGGCUUUCCCUUCUCAGAGAAGGGGAAGGGAGAUGGAGGGAGGAUCUGUGUGAGGGGGUUCUGGGAGAAGGGGGGCUGAUAUUGGGAUGCGAAAUUAAUAAAUGGAAAAAAUAGAACUCAGCUCUUCAUCAGUUCCUUGGGGAACUGAGGUCUUGAGGAACAUGCAAUGGUGUCUAUGCCCCUGCCUCACACCUCAUGUCUAUGGCAGCCCUAGCACCCAAAUACAUUAAUUAAUUAUUAAUUAAUUAAAUUCUUUUGGAGACAAACUACUUUAUGAAAAUAUCAACAUGCAAAGCUCCAGCUUGCUCUUUGGACUCACUGUGUGCCACUGUCGAAGAUUCUCAGUAUUUGGUGUGCAAUGUGAGCUUUCCUCCCCUUUUCUUGCUCAGGGUCUAGAACAGACCACAAACCAGUACCAAGCAAGAAAUGACAGGGGCCACGGUGGGAUCGGCUUGGCAGUUAGAGUGAGCACUGCUCUUGUAGAGGCCUUGAGUUCUGUUCUAUACAUCGCCUAUCAGGAGACUCACAACUGCCAGAGAAUCUGCUGACCUCUGACCACCACAGGCACCUGCAGUUAUAGUACAUCACCCCACAUACAAUUAAAAAAUAAAAAUAAAAAGCAGAUGCUGAAAGAUGGCUCAGUCAUUAAGAACGCUGGUUGCUUUUCCAGAGGUACUGGGUUCAAUUCCCAGCAUCUACCUGGCUGCUCACAACCAUGCCAACUUCACUUCCAGGGGAUUCAAUGCCCUCUUCUGGCCUCUGUAGGCACCAGGCACAUCCAUGGCACACCGGCAUACAUGCAAGCAAAACAGCCGAAUACAUAAAAUAAUAAUAAUAAUAAAAAUGAAUCUUUGAAAAAAAUAAUAAAAGUUGCUUGAAAAUUUUGGUCCAAAUUUAUUAGUUAAUAAGAAAAAUGAGACAGAAGGCAGACGCUAAAUGAGAUUUAAGUCAUAGUUUCCAGUCUGCUUUUAUGGGAAAAAAAAAAGCAAAAAAGUACCAAAACCAAACCAAACCUCACCAGACUCAGAAGCCCUCGACUGUAGCAGCAAGUGUGUCCAGAGUGAGGCAGGCGCCCAAAGCAUGGUGGCCAUCAAGUCUGUCACACGCUCCAUGUUCGUGUUCUUCAAGUCUGUCACACACUCCGUGUUCUCCCGCUGCUUUCGUUUAUGAAAAGAAAUUGCCAAGAGAAGUGGUGCACACCUUUAUCCAGCACUCAGGAGGCAAGCGGAUCUUUGUGAGUUUGAGGCCAGCCUAGUCUACAGAAUGAGUUCCCGGCUAUCCAAGGCUACUCGGCCAGGAAGAUGGUUCAGAGAGCAAAGGUACUUGCUGCCAACCCUUGGUGACCUGGGUGACUCCCUAGACCUCACAUGAUGUAAGGACAGAACCACUGCCUUCUAAGUUGUCCUCUGACUCCCUCAAAUAAAUAAAUGUAAUAACAA